rnacentral:rRNA from 1 species
CCAGACUCCUACGGGAGGCAGCAGUGGGGAAUAUUGCACAAUGGGGGAAACCCUGAUGCAGCAACGCCGCGUGAGUGAAGAAGUAUUUCGGUAUGUAAAGCUCUAUCAGCAGGGAAGAAAAUGACGGUACCUGACUAAGAAGCUCCGGCUAAAUACGUGCCAGCAGCCGCGGUAAUACGUAGGGGGCAAGCGUUAUCCGGAAUUAUUGGGCGUAAAGGGCGCGUAGGUGGGUGCUUAAGUCAGGUGUGAAAACUCUGGGCUCAACCUGGAGACUGCACUUGAAACUGGGUAUCUUGAGGGCAGGAGAGGAAAGUGGAAUUCCUAGUGUAGCGGUGAAAUGCGUAGAUAUUAGGAGGAACACCAGUGGCGAAGGCGACGUUCUGGACGUUACCUGACGCUGAGGCGCGAAAGCGUGGGUAGCGAACGGGAUUAGAUACCCCGGUAGAG